UUAGUGUCCAAAGGAUAUAUCCACAGGCAUGUUUGCCCGUCUUCGCAGGCGCUUUGGGAGAGUUGAUGUUGGCUGAGAAGAGUCUAGAGUGAAGCAAACAAAACCUAAAGGUAAUGAUGGACACAGGACGUGGUCAUGUGGAAUGUGGAAGACCUGCAGACAAACGUCAUCCCCUGAAACUGUCCUAAACAAGGUGCAGGCCAAUGAGGAAGAGGAGAGGCUGAAUAGAGAACUGGAGCUAACUACCAAGGAGAGAAAUGAGCUGACAGAUCGCCUCCUUUAUGUGACAGGUGGAUCCAUGAACAAGAGCCCCUACUUCAGGCCAAAUCCAUUUUAUGAAAAAUUGAAGAUAAAGGAGAAAGAAGUCAUGUCAUUACUGCACAACUUAGACAUAAAUAACAUUGAACAUCGUGAGAAAUUUCAGGAGCUCAAGAAGGAGAUCCACUUCUAUCGCAACCUGCACAGCCGGCUCCUGAUGGAUCAGGCAUGUAUGAAGAAGAAGUUGGUCACAUUGAAGCAGGAGUGCAAGGAGGUACAGCGAUAUUUGUUUGAGUUGAACCCGAAUGAUGAAGAAGAACGGGAGAAGACCAGCAACCUCCAGACCCAGCAAAAUUUGGUCUCAGAAACUGCAGGAGAGAUGGAUUAGCACAUAUCCCAGGAAGACGGCCCCCUGAAGAAUGAGUUUCAUUCUCAGGAGUUCCCUGUGACGACAAUCCUCAACAGUCAAAGACAUUCUUUGGAGCAGCCUGGAGGAAGACACUCAGCCGACAAUGUGGCCAUCUCCAGACAGGCCCCGACAAUGGCUAACAGACUUGAUGAAGACUGGAAACAUUUGCUAAUUCAGAGAGAAAAGAAGCCCCUCCAUCUACACUGUACUCUAAGGACAGUUUAUUCAGGUAAGGAAGACAUGACCUAUUGUCUCAGGUCACAGAUGUCAGCACAAAGUAUCCAAGGUAUUGUGUGCCAAUGGUAGCAUUAACAGAACAAAGCACACAGUGUCAUGAAGACAUAAUUAUGAGUAUGUGUAGCAAGACCCAGCCUCAUCCAGGUUCUUAGAUAGUAACUGAGAACCUCAAAUACAGUAGUAAUGUGAUAGUGUGGUGUGAAUCUAGUUACAACUAGCUUCUAUUUUGACACAGAUGACUCUUUUGUGUCAUGGUCAGCUUAUGAUGAAUGAGUAGAAGACCUAAGCUUGAGAAUAAGUAAAGACUACAUUGCUUCUCUAGCUGAAGAGUUUUUAAAAGCCCUGGUGUGACAGCAAAUUUUGUGGACAUUCUGGAUUAUUCCUUCUGUACUUUAACUCUCUGAGUCACCUGCACUCUCAGUAAGUUAGUUCAAUUCCAUAAAUUGGAAUUUAGUCACCUGGAAAAAAUGCUUUAUCAAUAGGAUCCCAGAUUUGCCAUGGAAAAGGGGUAGCUUGAACUGUCCCACCUAGGUUUUGGGCUUGCACAGGCCUGCUCUCCAAAAGAAAUGUGUGUUCACCGCUACAGGCUGCUUUCACUAUGGAUGCUCUUGACGUUCCUCCCUAAAUUGCUUACAUUAAGAUAAUUUUCUUUCUAUGGAAAGAAUUCAUUAUGCCAAGCUGGCAUACAGGAAUCUAGUUUCUAUUCUGUAUUUUAUAAGAUGUGCUUAAUAUAUAGAUGAUCAUCACUGAUAAUAGCUGAAAGAUCUGCUCUAAUAUGGAAACUCGGUGAUGCUGGAGGAUGAUCCUGAACCCACAAUGAGCAGUGGGGACACCAGGCCCCACUACAGAUGCCUGGCAACCUAGCACAUUGAGCAUGCACAGCUCUUUAAGUUACCUGUGAAUACACAUCUCCUGAGAUCUCUCUACUUCAUUGGAGGUGAUCCUGUCCACCUAAUACAGCACAUGCCCUGAAAGGACAAAAGCCACCUGCAGGAGCUAUGGUGACUGACUCAUAGAUUAGAGUAUCUGCUGCUCUCUCAGAAGAACCACGUGGUCCCCAGUAAUCAUCGACAACAGAUAAUGUGACACUUUUUUUAGGAGUAUCACGGAAAUUCACCCAGG